rnacentral:rRNA from 1 species
UACGAAGGGUGCAAGCGUUACUCGGAAUUACUGGGCGUAAAGCGUGCGUAGGUGGUUCGUUAAGUCUGUCGUGAAAGCCCCGGGCUCAACCUGGGAAUGGCGAUGGAUACUGGCGAGCUAGAGUGCGGUAGAGGAGAGUGGAAUUCCCGGUGUAGCAGUGAAAUGCGUAGUGAUCGGGAGGAACAUCAGUUGCGAAGGCGGCUCUCUGGACCAGCACUGACACUGAGGCACGAAAGCGUGGGGAGCAAACAGG